ACUAACGGCCUCGUUGUGCUGCAGCCUAAGUGCGGGAAAGACUGGCACUUACCCCACAGUCCUCAAUUUUGAAGCAAGUUGAAUAAAGGAGAACUAUAUGUGGCGAAAACGAAAAAGCAGAAAAACCCAAUCGAAAUUAGAGACCUUCUGACUAGCAGCUUCAGGAGCUGCCACGCUUCAGAAUUUUAUUUGGAAAGAGGAUAUGUCACGGAAAGUAUUUGAAAAAGAGAAAAAUAUGCAGAGGACACUCAUGGACCACAAAUUGGCUGUCAGCUUACUGCUCCUUGCCUUUCUGUAUCCCAUUACUGGUGUUACGGGCUACAGCUGGGAUCCCGGCCCCUACUCUAAUAGCGCCGAUGCCUCCCUGAUGUCGUGCAGCCCCGAGAAGCAAGCAGAUGUCCUGUCCAAAUGCAAUAACGACUUGUGUGAGGUAACACGAGUGGUUACGACGCUUCCCAACGGGGAACAACUUUGUAGCUAUUGCAUCUUCAACAUACUUCCUGAGCCUGAAUUCGAAGAGGAUGAAAGUUUCGUUGCCUUAAAAUUCGUGAAGGAGGAUCUACCUGCUUGUACCACCUGCAAAACUGAAAAGUAUCUGCUAGAUUUUGCUGGAAAAGUUGUACGCGGGCCUGAGAUUUGUACUGAAACCAUCAAAACAUCAGCACCAUCCGCGGUCGAGUUCCACGCAAGUUUCGAAGCUGCUCAGGGCAUAGCCAUGUCGUGGGAGACUCCGCACACUGCCUGCCCUAUUAGUCGCUACCAAAUUUCUCACUCAGUUCUUGAUCUCAACGACCCUCUCCAGACCAAGACGAUUCAAUCCAUUAACUUGGACAGCCACUAUUCAAACUACAUCCUAGACAAUGUGAAGCACAACUCGUUGUAUGAGGUGUGCAUGACUGCAGUCGCAGUCGGCGAAGAAUCAGGCCCGGAAACCUGCAAGUCCAUUUUGAUUCCAAAAUUAGGAGUCGAGCAGCUAGAAGCGAAGAUUGAAGCUGACCAGGGAAUUAAAGUGUCAUGGCAUCUUCCAAAAACUCUCAGCGAUCUCAUUCAUUACGACAUUUCCUACACGCAAAAGGAUCUUGGAAACAGUGACCAGCCCAAGACAGUAAAAAUAUUCAGAGUGGAGAGCAGUUAUUCUACCCACGUGCUGAGUGAUGUUCAGCCCAACUCGUCAUAUGAGAUUUGCGUCUUCGCAUUGCUUGAGAAUUCCUCCGGUGGAAAGACUUGUACAUCCAUAGAGACUCCGAACGAAAGUGCACAUGGGACGGACAUCAAUGAUGCCAUCUCUUUCUGUUGAUUGACUGUUCUGCCAGUCCUCGAGAGCCGCGGCCAUGCGGAGGAGUACAACAUGUACGCGGCCAUGCGGAGGAGUACGGCUGACGUCCAACCUUCCAAUGUCCUAGUCAUGGACGUUCCUUCGUCGGAAAUAAAGGCAAUUAUGGACAAUUUCUUGACUGAGAAGGA
rnacentral:misc_RNA from 1 species